rnacentral:tRNA from 14 species
AGAAUGAUCUUGGGGGGUCCUGAGUGCAGACUUCAAAUCUGUAGAGGGGGAGACUCCUAGCUGUUCGACUCAGCCUUUC